AUGUCGCUUCUAACAUUCCACAGGCGAAGAGAAAUCCUUGGAGCUUCAAUGGAUCUCAGGGUGGAUUUCUUCGAGCUUUUGAAUCGAUGCCUGCUACUGGUUUUGGAACUGGUCUUGUUGAUGUCUGCAGGGCGGGUUCUUUUUGGUAUAACAAGGUCCUGUUUUUUUGCAGAUUUCAAACCACAAUUUGAUGUCAAGGUAGAAACUUUGGUGUCAUUUGGAGAGAGGAAGAUAAGCCUUAGGAACUUUAGAUAA